rnacentral:rRNA from 1 species
GACGAACGCUGGCGGCGUGCUUAACACAUGCAAGUCGAACGGAAAGGCCCUGCUAUUGUGGGGUGCUCGCGUGGCGAACGGGUGAGUAACACGUGAGUCUCCUGCCCUUGACUUUGGGAUAAAUUCAGGAAACUGGGGCUAAUACCGGAUUGGAGCUCCUGCUGCAUGGUGGGGGCUGGAAAGUUUCGGCGGUUGGGGAUGGACUCGCGGCUUAUCAGCUUGUUGGUGGGGUAGUGGCUUACCAAGGCUUUGACGGGUAGCCGGCCUGAGAGGGUGACCGGCCACAUUGGGACUGAGAUACGGCCCAGACUCCUACGGGAGGCAGCAGUGGGGAAUAUUGCACAAUGGGCGGAAGCCUGAUGCAGCAACGCCGCGUGCGGGAUGACGGCCUUCGGGUUGUAAACCGCUUUCGCCUGUGACGAAGCGUGAGUGACGGUAAUGGGUAAAGAAGCACCGGCUAACUACGUG